GCUGAUUUAGCUUAAUUGGUAAAGCAAUCGUUUUGUAAUCGAUAGUUAGUGAUUCAAGUUCACUAUUCAGUA
rnacentral:tRNA from 1 species